rnacentral:rRNA from 1 species
GACGUAGGGCGCGAGCGUUGUCCGGAUUUAUUGGGCGUAAAGAGCUCGUAGGCGGCUUGUCGCGUCGACUGUGAAAACUCCAGGCUCAACCUGGAGCCGCCAUUCGAUACUGCUAUGGCUAGAGUCCGGUAGGGGAGUGUGGAAUUCCCGGUGUAGCGGUGAAAUGCGCAGAUAUCGGGAGGAACACCGAUGGCGAAGGCAGCACUCUGGGCCGGCACUGACGCUGAGGAGCGAAAGCGUGGGAGCGAACAGG